rnacentral:misc_RNA from 1 species
UACAGAUCUCCAAUAAACAAACGAGUUCCACAUGCUACAUGUAACCCACAAUUUCUUCUCGCACCCCAUGGCCACAAAGGCCGGGGGCCAAGGAUUUCUCCAUUAGAAGGCACAAUGCAUUGUGCAACACAUUGGAGCACACCAUCACCAACAACUGGGCCAACAAGUAGAGCCACAUGUCUCUUCAGAUUUGCCUCUUGAACCCCCUCAACCG